rnacentral:tRNA from 1 species
AGCCCCGACAUAUAGAUUGCAAACCUAAAGAAGCCAAGUAAUUUUGGCCGGGGCUUC